rnacentral:rRNA from 1 species
GCGAGUGAAGCGGCAACAGCUCAAAUUUGAAAUCUGGCCCCAGGCCCGAGUUGUAAUUUGCAGAGGAUGCUUUUGGUGCGGUGCCUUCCAAGUUCCCUAGAACGGGACGCCAGAGAGGGUGAGAGCCCCGUACAGUUGGACACCAAGCCUUUGUAAAGCUCCUUCGACGAGUCGAGUAGUUUGGGAAUGCUGCUCAAAAUGGGAGGCAUAUUUCUUCUAAAGCUAAAUACCGGCCAGAGACCGAUAGCGCACAAGUAGAGUGAUCGAAAGAUGAAAAGCACUUUGAAAAGAGGGUUAAACAGCACGUGAAAUUGUUAAAAGGGAAGCGCUUGUGACCAGACUUGCGUCCGGUGAAUCACCCAGCUCUCGCGGCUGGGGCACUUCGCCGGCUCAGGCCAGCAUCAGCUCGCUGUCGGGGACAAAAGCUUCAGGAACGUAGCUCUCUUCGGGGAGUGUUAUAGCCUGUUGCACAAUACCCUUCGGCGGGCUGAGGUACGCGCUCCGCAAGGAUGCUGGCAUAAUGGUCAUCAGCGA